GGGAUUUCUUUUAAAAACACCCCCUCCAGCUCAGCUCCAUUAUUUCUUAUUUGUGCACUUGUUCCUCCUGAGGCAUCCUCACAGUGUACAAGCUAUUCCCUCUCUUGCCUUUUUGCCUGGAAAUAAAGUUGUCUCUUGCUUUCGGUUGGCACUGCCGCUGCAUAAUUACAACACCGGGAAGUGUCGGUGAGCCAGAGGCUAGCAGGAGAGCUCCUGUUGUCCCAAGGAAAUGGUGGAAUACAUAACACUGAAAACAAUAAGCAGAAGUGUAUAUAUGAACAAGGUAACCUUUCUGUUUGUGGGCUUGUGAGUCAUCAAAGUGCUUUCAAACUAAUAAUAAAGCUCCAGGGAGAGUUUCUCCCCCAGCCUUACAUGGCCUUCCUGCCUGCUUCCUUAGUCCAGGCAUGACCGUCACCCCUAAAAAACACAGUGCUCAGCCUGGUUCCUCCUCUUACAACGACACAAGUCCCAGGUGUUGCACUUGGCAUUGAAUAGGUAAGAUCAACCAUCCAAGUCUGAUGGUAUGUGUCCGUUUUGUUGUUUUUUUGUGUGCAUGUUUGUGCGCCGACUUUUACCUGUUUAGCUUUAUCUUAUCACAUAUGAACUAGAUCUCAUAUGGG